CUUUGAGGUACUUACAAAUAACGUGUUGAUUUAUUCUAGGCUCUUUUAGGUACAAAAGCAGACCUAAUCUGGCUGAGCUGCUUUUGAAGGCAGCUUCUGAGCUUGCCUGCACAUGUCACCUAUUGCCCAGGAAACCUUCCACAGGGUCUGCUAAGAGCCCCCCAUGCACUCCCCUUACAGCACAAGGCCAGAUUUCCGUGUGCCGCCUGUUCUGGGGACAGGCACACCAUGUCUCUGUCCUCCACCUCUGGCCUCAUGACCACAGACAUCACAGAGGGACCUGUGUCUUGGCAGAAUCUGUUGUUCAGAUCCCUUCCCCUUUUCUCUCUUUAUUGCUAAGGCAUGAAUGUCCAGAAUAUCUCCUUCCCAUCUAAUUCUUGUCCAGUUCAUGCUCAGCUGGAUUCUGACCCAAUCCUCCCAUACUUCUCUGUUACAAUCCUCCCUACUAAACUGACCCAUUUUCAGAUUUUUGUAUGAGUCUUUCUGAGUUCCAGGUCACCAGAGAGCUCAUGAGUCAGGGGUGAUACCUUAUUUCCCUUGGUCCUGUCACAUAGCCAGUCACUAAGGAGGAAGAUAAAUUUUAAUAAGCGGACCGAAAGUGUGAAUGGAAAUCUACUGAACCAAGUGAAGACUUGGCUCCUGUGCAGGAUCACGUGUACUGACAAAUUAAACCAAGAGCAUGCAAGCACAUCUCAAAAUUAGUUUCUCACAAGGAAGCAAGCAACCAAGUUUGGAAAAGAACUCUGAACAAAUCAAUCCUUUUUUUGUCUUCAUGUCCUUCUUAUGUCCCAGCCAGCGAGACAACAGCUUUGCCACCUGGUGACAGUGCAUCUG